rnacentral:rRNA from 1 species
AUGAACGCUGGCGGCGUGCCUAAUACAUGCAAGUCGAGCGAACAGACGAGGAGCUUGCUCCUCUGACGUUAGCGGCGGACGGGUGAGUAACACGUGGAUAACCUACCUAUAAGACUGGGAUAACUUCGGGAAACCGGAGCUAAUACCAGAUAAUAUAUUGAACCGCAUGGUUCAAUAGUGAAAGACGGUUUUGCUGUCACUUAUAGAUGGAUCCGCGCCGCAUUAGCUAGUUGGUAAGGUAACGGCUUACCAAGGCAACGAUGCGUAGCCGACCUGAGAGGGUGAUCGGCCACACUGGAACUGAGACACGGUCCAGACUCCUACGGGAGGCAGCAGUAGGGAAUCUUCCGCAAUGGGCGAAAGCUUGACGGAGCAACGCCGCGUGAGUGAUGAAGGUCUUCGGAUCGUAAAACUCUGUUAUUAGGGAAGAACAAAUGUGUAAGUAACUAUGCACGUCUUGACGGUACCUAAUCAGAAAGCCACGGCUAACUACGUG